AGAGGAGGCAGUGCAAUGCAUCCUGGGAACAGUCAAAGCUUUAGCCUGUUGGUGCCUCGGAUCAAGAUCCAACUUUACACACCGAUGUUAUUCCCUGUAGAAUACCAGUGUACCCUGCUGCAGAAACAUGCAUUUUGACCAGUAUGCAGAGCCCAGAAGAAAAACUAACACAAACCAAAAGUGAGCAGAGGUUGGAAAAUUACAGUCUUUCAUUUAACCCUGAAUGCUCUGACAAGUAAGUCUUCAUACGAUAUUCAAAUGAGACAAGGACGGAGUGCCCAGCCUGCCAUUGCCACAUGAGGAAACAAAAGUGAUGCAAUUACAUACAGAAAAAAACUUUCAAUGCUGAGAUAUUCAAAGGACAUAUUAAUUGUUAUCAGAAGAGCCACAGCUAUUGUGUUUUAAAGUUUGCGAAAAUGAUUAUAUGCAAUAAAACCAGUUAUGGAAUA